rnacentral:tRNA from 1 species
AGCAGCGUGGCUCAGUGGAAGGAGCAUGGGUUGGGGACUCAGAGGUCAUGGGUUCAAAUCCCAACUCUGCCA